AGGCAGUGAGCUGUGGGCCUGAAUGU
rnacentral:piRNA from 1 species